rnacentral:lncRNA from 1 species
CCAAGUUGGCCGAGCGCUACGACGACAUGGCCACCUGCAUGAAGGCCGGGACCAAGCAGGGCGCCGAGCUGUCCAAGGAGGAGCGCAACCUGCUUUCCGUGGCCUACAAGAACGUGGUCGGGGCCGCAGGUCCGCCUGGGGCGUCAUCUGGAGCAUCGAGCAGAAUACCUACACCUCCGACAAGAAGUUGCAGCUGAUUAAGGACUAUCAUACAGUUGCUUUGAGACAACCUAACGCUUUGGACAUCAGACAGUGCAGGAGAAGAAUGUGAUGUUGCAGAAGGGGCUGAAAUCUA